rnacentral:rRNA from 1 species
UCCCUACGGGGGGCAGCAGUGGGGAAUCUUGCGCAAUGGGCGAAAGCCUGACGCAGCAACGCCGCGUGAGUGAUGAAGGCCCUCGGGUCGUAAAGCUCUGUCAGAAGGGAAGAAUAAAUGACGGUACCUUCAAAGGAAGCACCGGCUAACUCCGUGCCAGCAGCCGCGGUAAUACGGAGGGUGCAAGCGUUACUCGGAAUCAUUGGGCGUAAAGCGCACGUAGGCGGUCUCUUAAGUCCGGCGUGAAAUCCUGGGGCUCAACCUCAGAUGGCCGUUGGAAACUAAGAGACUUGAGAGUGGAAGGGGUCAGUGGAAUUCCUGGUGUAGGAGUGAAAUCCGUAGAGAUCAGGAGGAACACCGGUGGCGAAGGCGACUGACUGGGCCAUUUCUGACGCUAAUGUGCAAAAGCGUGGGGAGCAAACAGGAUUAGAUACCCUUGUAGUC